CUCACAUUGUCAGUGCCAGCAUUUUGCAACUCCUCUCGCCCUGUGCUCUAGGAAACUGUGAGGUCGUCUCCAACACUUUGCUCCUGAGCUGCCUGGAUUUGGCAAUACAGCCAGUCCAACCUUUGCUGCCAGAUGGCCCAAGAUACAACAAUCCAGUUUGUUCAGUGACCAAACACACCCCGUUCCUGGAGGAUCAACUCGAGCUACUGCACAGCCAGAACCAAUCCGUGAAGCUGACAUCCGAGCACCCUCUGAAGGCUGCAGUACCUGGGGUGCCUGAAAUGCCAUUAUCUCUCCCUCUGAGAACAGAUGCAUUUAUCCUGCAGGAAGAUUCUUUUUCAAACCAAGAGAAGAUAAAGAUGUCUUAGCCUGGGAACCCAAGAUGCAAUCACAUUUUCAAAUCCAACUUUAAAUGCACCAUCAGGUCUACAAUCGAGGAGGUGUGAAUACGUGUGCUAUUGAUUAAUUUCAGCUUUGCUUGAUAUCACUCCAAGUUUCCAAUAACUGACUAUAGUUGCCAUUCCUGGACAGGGCAGGUAAUGAGAAGUGUGCACUUCGCUUUUUUUUUUCUUUUGUCUCCAGAGCUAAAUAUACACAUUCACCA
rnacentral:lncRNA from 1 species